rnacentral:rRNA from 1 species
GUAGGGAAUAUUGGGCAAUGGAGGCAACUCUGACCCAGCCAUGCCGCGUGCAGGAAGACGGUCCUCUGGAUUGUAAACUGCUUUUGAAUGGGAAGAACAGCAUUCUUGCGAGAGUGUUUGACGGUACUAUUAGAAUAAGCACCGGCUAACUCCGUGCCAGCAGCCGCGGUAAUACGGAGGGUGCAAGCGUUAUCCGGAUUUAUUGGGUUUAAAGGGUGCGUAGGCGGCUUUAUAAGUCUGGGGUUAAAGGCGGCAGCUUAACUGUACGCAUGCCCUCGAUACUGUAGAGCUUGAGUAAUUUGGAGGUAGCUAGAAUUCCCUGUGUAGCGGUGAAAUGCAUAGAUACGGGGAGGAAUACCGAUUGCGAAGGCAUGUUACUACGAAUUAACUGACGCUGAUGCACGAAAGCGUGGGGAUCAAACAGGAUUAGAUACCCUAGUAGUCC